rnacentral:rRNA from 1 species
GGUUAAAGGUACCCGUACCGCAAACCGACACAGGUGGGUGAGGAGAGUAUCCUAAGGCCAGCGAGAGAACUGUUGUUAAGGAACUCGGCAAAAUGACCCCGUAACUUAGGGAUAAGGGGUGCCACCAUCAGGUGGCCGCAGAGAAUAGGCCCAAGCGACUGUUUACCACAAACAUAGGUUUCUGCUAAGUCGCAAGACGAUGUAUAGGAGCUGACGCCUGCCCGGUGCUGGAAGGUUAAGGGGAUCUGUUAGAGCAAUCGAAGCAGUGAACUUAAGCCCCAGUAAACGGCGGCCGUAACUAUAACGGUCCUAAGGUAGCGAAAUUCCUUGUCGGGUAAGUUCCGACCCGCACGAAAGGCGUAACGAUUUGGGCACUGUCUCA